rnacentral:rRNA from 1 species
CCCAGUGGAUGAAUGUCUACUAUCUGAUCUCCGAAUAUAAGUAGGGCCAGGUCUGGUUAGUACUUGGAUGGGAGACUGUAGGGAAUACCAGACACCACAGUGC